AAAAUUUCAUGAAGUAUCCUUAUCAUAUAAAAAUUUGACAGUUAUGAAAAUAAGAACCAUGUUUACAUUUUCUGGUGUUACAGACUCUACAUAGCAGAAACAACUGACCAUGCAUAUUUAGAAAAAAAUAGGUAUACAUUAUCAUAAUUUAAGAUACCCUCUUACACAGCAAGGUAUUGCUUAGACAAAUACUAUGAUUUGAAAAAAUAUUUCUAAAUAUAAUUAAUUCCAUUCCUUUACAGACAAUACAGGCUGUCUAUGACUACCGUUUACUGUCAUUUUUAAAAUUAUUGUACUAACUUAAGGCGUCAAUGUAAAUUUUAUUCUAAGCAGAAACAUACUCAGAAUACAAGAAUAUACGUUACUUUUAAUUCUGAAAUUAACCCAGGUUAUGUCCACAUUAUGAAACUGCUACAAACAUAAAUCAGCAGACACAACACAACAGAUAUUUGAUGGCUCGUUCCCAGCACACAAAUUCUCAGACAGUUCAGAUGACCACGCUGUACCUCAUUUUUCAAAGUAAAUCAAAGUAUUUAUAUCGUCAAUUCCUAUCUUCAGUUGUGUGCAUAUUAAUAAUGCAAAAUAAAUAAAUAAAAAUAAAAACAACAUAAUUUUUACUUUAAUUUACAUUCUGUUUAAAGAAAAAUUUAUUCUUUCAAGGUAAUAAUUUAAUGCAUGGACCAAGUAGGCAGAUGUUCGUGUUAUAACUAAGAAAAACACAGGUACGAAUGAAAAACUCAUCACAACAGAACUGUAAUAACUUCUUAUACAUCAAUGGCAUUUGAUUGUGGCUGAGCUGUCAGCUUUGCAAGUAUUUCAACAGCAACAUAAUGUACAUAUUUUGCCUGUGUACACCGCCACAAUAGAGUUACAAUGAAAACAUCAAGAUGUGAUGGUAAUGAAGAUUGUUAGCUUUAAUUUGAA